AUCUAUGAUUUCACAUUCAUGGACGUUGAUAAGAUCUUUCCAUUUAGUAGCACCAUAGGAUGACAUUCCCUUAACGUUAAUGGCAAGGUUCAAAAGAGGAAAGGCUUGCGGUGGAUACCUAGGCACCCAGAGACGAGGAAGGGCAUAGCAAGAGACGAAAUGCUUCAGGGAGUUGAAAGUAAGCAUAGAUCCGGAGAUUCCCAAAUAGGUCACCCUUUUAAACUGUCUACUGAAUCCAUGAGCAGGCAAGAGACAACCUGGCGAACUAAAACAUCUUAG
rnacentral:rRNA from 1 species